UACAGAGGGUGCGAGCGUUAAUCGGAAUUACUGGGCGUAAAGCGCACGUAGGUGGCGACGUAAGUCGGGUGUGAAAGCCCCGGGCUCAACCUGGGAACCGCGCUUGAGACUGGCACGCUCGAGUUCGGGAGAGGAUGGUGGAAUUCCCAGUGUAGAGGUGAAAUUCGUAGAUAUUGGGAAGAACACCGAUGGCGAAGGCAGCCAUCUGGACCGACACUGACGCUGAGGCGCGAAAGCGUGGGGAGCGAACAGG
rnacentral:rRNA from 1 species